rnacentral:rRNA from 1 species
CACGCCGUAAACGUUGGGAACUAGGUGUGGGAGGUUUUGACUCCUUCCGUGCCGAAGCUAACGCAUUAAGUUCCCCGCCUGGGGAGUACGGUCGCAAGGCUAAAACUCAAAGGAAUUGACGGGGGCCCGCACAAGCGGUGGAGCAUGUGGUUUAAUUCGACGCAACGCGAAGAACCUUACCUGGGCUUGACAUGCAGGUAGUAGUGAUCCGAAAGGUGAACGAUCUCGAAUUAUAUUCGGGAAGCCUGCACAGGUGC